rnacentral:rRNA from 2 species
CGAUGACCACUUCGGUGGGGAUUAGUGGCGAACGGGUGAGUAACACGUGGGCAAUCUGCCCUUCACUCUGGGACAAGCCCUGGAAACGGGGUCUAAUACCGGAUAACACUCCCGCCCGCAUGGGCGGGGGUUGAAAGCUCCGGCGGUGAAGGAUGAGCCCGCGGCCUAUCAGCUUGUUGGUGAGGUAGUGGCUCACCAAGGCGACGACGGGUAGCCGGCCUGAGAGGGCGACCGGCCACACUGGGACUGAGACACGGCCCAGACUCCUACGGGAGGCAGCAGUGGGGAAUAUUGCACAAUGGGCGCAAGCCUGAUGCAGCGACGCCGCGUGAGGGAUGACGGCCUUCGGGUUGUAAACCUCUUUCAGCAGGGAAGAAGCGCAAGUGACGGUACCUGCAGAAGAAGCGCCGGCUAACUACGUGCCAGCAGCCGCGGUAAUACGUAGGGCGCAAGCGUUGUCCGGAAUUAUUGGGCGUAAAGAGCUCGUAGGCGGCUUGUCACGUCGGGUGUGAAAGCCCGGGGCUUAACCCCGGGUCUGCAUUCGAUACGGGCUAGCUAGAGUGUGGUAGGGGAGAUCGGAAUUCCUGGUGUAGCGGUGAAAUGCGCAGAUAUCAGGAGGAACACCGGUGGCGAAGGCGGAUCUCUGGGCCAUUACUGACGCUGAGGAGCGAAAGCGUGGGGAGCGAACAGGAUUAGAUACCCUGGUAGUCCACGCCGUAAACGGUGGGAACUAGGUGUUGGCGACAUUCCACGUCGUCGGUGCCGCAGCUAACGCAUUAAGUUCCCCGCCUGGGGAGUACGGCCGCAAGGCUAAAACUCAAGGAAUUUGACGGGGGCCCGCACAAGCAGCGGAGCAUGUUGCUUAAUUCGACGCAACGCGAAGAA